UCUGACGGAAUCAUUUAUAUUUAUACCAGUGUUGGUACAAAUUUCCAUCCAGCGUAGAUAAAACUAAGCAAGUGACGGAUCAUUUUACUACAGUAAGUGGUAGCUAACUGGCGAAUCACGGUGCUGUAGGUAUGCCCCAAGUCGACCUCCUUGUCUCCCGAGGAUUCUUUUUAUUCGAGUGGAUCGGAGAAUUUUGCGAGCUUAGCGAGUGAGCGACGAAAGGCGACACUGAAGACACUGAAAGCGGCUGUGGGGGAGACUAGGGAGGACGGUGAAUGUGUCUAGGAAUGGUGUUCUUGCUACGAACUAUCCGGUACUACGUGUAGAGUCUCACAUCAGAGAAUAAUGCUAGAAGUUUCUGGUCAACCUACGCCAGCAUUGCUGUGCGGUUUUGUUUUUUUUCCUUUGUUUUGUUGUUAUCCUGGGACGUGUUCUACAAUUUACAUCUGCCGCAGUUUUUCGAUUCACGAAAGACAUUCACUGGCCAAGUUAAUGAAAAUUCUUGUAAACUGUCUACGUUAUGGCUAAACAGUCGUCCGAGAGCCAUGCAUGUCUUAAUGGAGCUGAGCAACCAAACUCGUGAAAUUUUAAAAUCAUUUUCUGCUAUAUUUUUAAGUUUAUCGAGUAAAAGACCCAAGCGCAUGUUCACACCAGAUAAACUCAACAGCACCGAAUAUAAACCAGCCCGAAUCGCAAAUAGCAGGCGAAUGAAGGACAAAUAUUAAUAUUAAAUGAGGUAAAAUACCAAGAAACUUAUUGUUUAGGAGGCGAAGGAAAGUGAGAAUGAGGCACAGAAGGAUGUAAAGAGGAAAAGGAAGGAAGGAAGGAAAAAUUUCCCUUACCUUGAAUGGUAGAAUACACUUUACUUUCGUUUGUAAAAUCGAGAAAAAGAUGCUCAAGUGCAAAGCUUUAAAUAGCCGACUUUUCAACAGUCUACUUUUCUCAAGGCCGCAUAUUACUCGUCGGUGUGCAGACUAUGAAUACAACGCUAGCGGCGUUUACUGAAUAAGAUAAAGCAGAUACGGCUCUUUUCGCCAGAUUCUGUCAGCGACAAGAAAAAACUCUAGUUCAUUCGUGUUUUCUUUACUGUCGAUAUUCAAGUCAAAAACAAGUAUUCGCCUCAGGAUCGACGUUAUCUAGGUGAAUAUUCACCACAUUUAAAUGAAUCAAUAAAUAUUCAUGUUGAUUUAAA